GACGCUCCUCAUCGACGCACUCCUCCUAAAAAGCAAAAACGAACAACUCGUCCAGUACCUUCUAAAUAUGGAAAUACUGGCAGAGAGACGUCUGAGAUUUGGAAUCAUUUCUUCAAGUUUACUGCUAAAGGAGAAGAUUUAAGGGUGAAUUUUGGAAAUUUGGUGAGAUCCAUGAAGUUUCAAGAAUCAAAGACUAAAUUCUUUGGUCUUUUGAGCUGCUGCUAUUGUGUUAUUAAGUUUGAACACCUUUUGGGAAGAUAUUAGUGAAGAUAUCUUGUGUUUAGUUUAUUUUGUGAUUUGUAACAAGGAUAUCUAUAGCUCAAGAUUAACUGGAGAUCAUGUUUAGAUUGAAUUAGCCUAGAAUUUUCAUAUUUAGAUUGAGAUAGCUACUGUAAUAGUAUAGAUGAUCUUGUUACUUCA